GAAUUCUCCUGCCUCAGUUUCCCAAGUAGCUGAGAUUACAGGUAAGGAGUGAGUCCGUGGAGCUCCACAGCUGCCAUUCCAGAGGGUAUAAUCUUCAUGAGCGUAGAGCUUUAUCUCUUAUUCACAUCUAAAUCCCAUCGAUACUUAAAAUGCAAGAUUUUUUGCUCAGUAAGUUGUGUUUCAAGAAAUAGGCGAAUAACAGGUGAGUGUCCUUCCUCAUUAAAUGAUUUUCCUCUCCUAGUCACAUUUAAAAACCGACAACAAUAAGAACUAUUUACAUUAUUUUGUCACUUUUUUGUUUGUUUGUUUCCAGCCUCAAUUUGAAAGAUGUAUCUCCAGCUGAAAUGUAUCACCUCAUGUAGUGGAUGCUAUGAUGUGUCAUUUUCUGCUCCUCCCUCUGCAAAUGUUGAUCCCAAGGAAAUUCCUUAAUAAAUCUCUCCUGGCUGAGCACCGUGGCUCAUGCCUGUAAUCCUAGCACUUUGGGAGGCCGAGGUGGGUGGAUCA